rnacentral:RNase_P_RNA from 1 species
CCAGUCGGUCGGACGGCCGCGGCCGGGGAUCAGGGCUUUGCGGCUCAAUCCCGGCGGAGGAAAGUCCGGGCUCCAAGGAUCAACGGUGGCGGCUAACGGCCGCCGGGGGCGACCCCAGGGAAAGUGCCACAGAGAAGAGACCGCCCGCGCGGGACAACCCGCAACGGUAAGGGUGAAACGGUGCGGUAAGAGCGCACCGCGCGUCCGGCAACGGAAGCGGCACGGCAAACCCCACCGGGAGCAAAACCGAAUAGGGGCGGCACGGACGGGUGGGGCAACUCGCCCGCCCAGCGCGAUCCUCGCCGCCGCCCGGGUUGGUUGCUCGAGGCGCUGAGCAAUCCGCGCCCCAGAGGAAUGGCCGUCGCGGAGGCAACUCCAGACAGAACCCGGCUUACAGGCCGACUGGCGUC